rnacentral:rRNA from 1 species
UAGCAGGAUUCCCCUAGUAACUGCGAGUGAAGCGGGAAAAGCUCAAAUUUAAAAUCUGGCGGUCUUUGGCUGUCCGAGUUGUAAUCUAGAGAAGUAAUGCCCGUGCUGGACCGUAUAUAAGUCUCCUGGGAUGGAGCAUCAUAGAGGGUGAGAAUCCCGUCUUUGAUACGGACUACCAGUGCAUUGUGGUAUGCUCUCAACGAGUCGAGUUGUUUGGGAAUGCAGCUCAAAAUGGGUGGUAAAUUCCAUCUAAAGCUAAAUAUUGGCGAGAGACCGAUAGCGAACAAGUACCGUGAGGGAAAGAUGAAAAGAACUUUGGAAAGAGAGUUAAACAGUACGUGAAAUUGCUGAAAGGGAAACGCUUGAAGUCAGUCACGUCUGCUGGGAAUCAGCCUCGCUCCUGCGUGGUGUACUUUCUGGUAUGACGGGUCAGCAUCAGUUUUGACCACUGGAAAAAGGUGUGGGGAAUGUGACAGCUCCGGCUGUGUUAUAGCCUCAUAUUGUAUACAGUGGUUGGGACUGAGGAACGCAGCACGCCGAAAGGCCGGGUCUUUGACCACGUUCGUGCUUAGGAUGCUGGCAUAAUGGCUUUAAGCGACCCGUCUUGAAACACGGACCAAGGAGUCUAACAUGCCUGCGAGUGUUUGGGUGGAAAACUCGAGCGCGCAAUGAAAGUGAAAGUUGAGAUCCCUGUCGUGGGGAGCAUCGACGCCCGGACCAGAACUUUUGGGACGGAUCCGCGGUAGAGCAUGUAUGUUGGGACCCGAAAGAUGGUGAACUAUGCCUGAAUAGGGUGAAGCCAGAGGAAACUCUGGUGGAGGGUCGUAACGGGUCUGACGUGCAAAUCGAUCGUCAAAUUUGGGGAUAAGGCGGAAAGACUAAUCGAAC